rfam:Triticum urartu cultivar G1812 contig140066, whole genome shotgun sequence.
GAUUAUGUUUGUAAAUGGAUUUUACACUAUGAUUGCAAAUCAUUAGCUUUGAGGUUCGAUUCCUCCAUAAUCU